rnacentral:rRNA from 1 species
AGCUCCAAUAGCGUAUAUUAAAGUUGUUGCGGUUAAAAGCUCGUAGUUGGAUUUCUGUUGAGGGACGUCGGUCCGCACUAUGUGCGUGUAUCUGACUGUGCCUCGGCAUCCUCUCGAAUAUCGGUCUGCGCUUCAUUGCGUGGGUCGGACUUCGGGACUUUUACUUUGAGGAAAUUAGAGUGUUCACGGCAGGCAAGCGCCCUGAAUAUAUUAGCAUGGAAUAAUGAUAUAGGAUCUUGGUCCUAUUUUGUUGGUUUCUAGGGCUAAGAUAAUGAUUAAUAGGGACAAUUGGGGGCAUUCGUAUUAACGCGUCAGAGGUGGAAUUCUUGGAUUGCGUUACGACGAACUACUGCGAAAGCAUUUGCCAAGGAUGUUUUCA